CCAACACUACAGCUCAAUUUCAAUUUCAGUUUCUAGAAAGGGGUAAAGCAGAUAAGGAUCAGAAUGGAAAAUAGCGGAUCUGUUCCUGGGUCGAGGCAAACGAAUUUGAAGAAAUCAUUCGAUCGCAGCUUGCGCUCCUUGUUUACUGCCUGCUCAUUCGAGGAAUUCCGUAAAGCUUUUCCGUGUUUUACUGCAUCCGAGCAGGAUCGCCUCCAUCAGCUCUUUGCUCAGGUUGUCUCUUCGUUGCAUCAAGAUAUUGAGGAACAAUUUGAGUCAAUAUUUGUCGGGACACAGGCAGGAGAAAUUCUUGAUACUGUAGAAGAGCUAGUGGAAGAACAGACUCUGGAUCCUCUACAUUCUAAGAAGAGUAAUGUAGAAGAAACGGCUAAAAAACUUUUGGAAGCAAAGAAAAAUGAGGUCAAUCAUUUGAAGGAACUAUUGGAAAAGUAUACAGAGUAACAGAGAUAACACUGAUGGUGUGAAGCAUAUAAAAGUUAACUGCUUUCACUAGAGUGGACCAGACUUUAUCAACUUUGUCUUCUUCGCUGCAGAAAAAAAGAAAUGUGAAAUGAAAGCACGUGUUGAACAACUCUAGAAAGAAAAGCAAGACUUCUCAGGAGCUGAAAAUCUUGUAAAUGAGUUAAAGAACAACAACCUGAACUAUUUGACUGGCUACCAGACUUAGCCUAUCAACAUGUGAAUGCAAUGAACAUAUUUCUGAAGAAGUAGACACUUGGAAGAGCUUUUGUUGCUGCCUACAUACGACUUCGUGGAGAUUGUGACAAACUGCGUUCGAUAUAUCUUUGAUUAAGUUUACUUUUCAUUUUCUUUAAUCAAUGGAGAUUUGGGAGUUUUACGUUCUUACAUAUGAUCAUAGUCAAACAAUCAAUCAGAUUGAGAGCAUUGUAAAGAUCUUCUGGUGAUUAAAUCAAAAGACGUGUGAUGAACAUGAACAUGGUGUAUUUGUUCGGUACGAACAAGAAUAUAAAUCGAUCAUUUUCAAA